AAAAUACCAUUAAUUUUUAUGAACCCCUAAUUUAUAAUGAAUGACUCCAUAUUUAUAUGGAAGACACCAUGCUAGGAUUAGUAACAAGAAUUUAUAAUUCUCCAAAAUGCAAAUAUAAACCAACAUGGAUAGACCAUUGGUAGUUACCGAACCUAAAUUUAAUGCAAUAACAUCCACAAGAAAACUCUGCAGCACUCACUCGUUAACCUAACACCAGCGCAUUACAGGAAAGAUUCAAAAAAAGAGAAGGAAUUCGGCAAAUGACGACCCCGCCUGUUUACCAAAAACAUCGCCUCUUGACUUAUAAUAAGAGGUCUAGCCUGCCCAGUGAAUUUUAAACGGCCGCGGUAUCCUAACCGCGCGAAGGUAGCAUAAUCACUUGUUCUUUAAAUGGGGACUCGUAUCAACGGCAUCACGAGGGUCUUACUGUCUCCUCUUUUUGAUCAGUGAAAUUGAUCUUCCCGUGAAGAAGCGGGAAUAUUUUUAUAAGACGAGAAGACCCCAUGGAGCUUUAAACCAAAUAACAACUUAACCACUUAUCCCAUAAUAAAUUUAACCCCUGUUAUAAGGUUUUUGGUUGGGGUGACCGCGGAGUAAAGCACAUCCUCCACGACGGAAAGAAUAAAAUCUUUAUUUAAGAACCACACUUCUAGAAAUUAGUAUACUAACGUUUACUGACCCGACAAUCGAUCAACGGACCAAGUUACCCUGGGGAUAACAGCGCAAUCUACUUCGAGAGCUCAUAUCGACAAGUAGGCUUACGACCUCGAUGUUGGAUCAGGGUAUCCCGGUGGUGCAGCCGCUACCGAAGGUUCGUUUGUUCAACGAUUAAAACCCUACGU
rnacentral:rRNA from 1 species